rnacentral:lncRNA from 1 species
GCGAAACUUUUGUGUUAUUUGUAACUUCAAAUUCAAAACCCAUUACAAAACUUCUAAACAGUCAGUUCAUCCAGCAUUACAGUUCAGCAUUACAGAACUUCUAAAACAACAUUACAGUAGCAUUACAAACUACAAAUCGUAACCCAACUAUAGUUUAGCAUUACAGCAUUAGCCAUUGCAGCAUUAUAGCAUUAGCCAUUGCAGCAUUACAGUUCUUGCCACAAGUAGACAAAAGAUCCAUAAGUCGACAAAAGAUCCAUAAUUAGACAAAAGAUCUACAAUAUCCAAUAAUUCUAGAACUUGAAACAACAUUACAGUUCUUGCCAAUAAUUCUCCAACUCUGCACCAAAUAGUGAAAUACACCACCAACAUAUUAGAAAGACACUCUUCAUCCAACUCUGACCAACAAGCAUCCAACUCUACCUGACAACAAUUUCAUUGAAGUAUAUUCUUCAGAUAAGCAAAUAUAGAUGAACACACUCUACAUAAUCUCUUAUUCAACAACGAGACAAAUAACAGUUUCAUAGAAGUACUAACUAACUAGCAGUAAGAGAACCUUAAGAGGUAAUGGUAUUACAAGGGCAGUACCUGAUUUACAUGGUUCUUCAUUCUUGUUCAGACUCAACAUAUUCGUCUUCACCCUCUUCAUCUUCACCAUUUUCACCUUCAUCGUUUUCAUCUUCAUCAAUAGAUCCCACAAUCACACUAGCACUCAUAGAUGUUACCUUCACCUUCACCUUCGUUCACACACAUUCGGUGGAAGGAUGCAUAUAGUACUUGGAAGUACAUAAAAUUAGUCACGGUUAAUAUCAAACAAUCAUUAUACAAACAGUGAAAAGAAUAAUGUAUACCAUUCUCAAACUCUAUUUGCUCUUCCAAGUCUUCUUCGACCAUCACCAGCUUCGAAUCAUCAGACUUAAUGCCUCGAAAAUAUUUGGAGUAAGCGAGGUCUGAAAUGAAUCUAAAAUACGGCCAACAACGAAUCGAAACUGGUCUUAGUAGAGCUGUAUUCGAAGAAUCAGCAGCCGCACCUGUACAAAUCGAUGAUGCCCACUGUUACGCAGAGAAAUAAGAAACAAUCAAAACCUCAUAAUAGAACCCGUAGUGGGUUGGAGAUGUAUUCUCACCUGUCACCAAAUUCCAGAAUGAUGAGGGAAUCGUGGGGAAUUACCGUCGAGAACCCGGUCGCUGUCGAGGGAAACGUCGGGAAUCGCCGUAGCAGAAGAAGAAGAAGAAGUUGAGCGCCGUUGUCGUUGUUUUCUAAACUCUGGAAUCGUCGUUGUAACUCUGGAAUCGCCGAGAAGUUGAGGGAAUCGCCGUUGCCCAUUGGAAGAGGUAGUGAGGAACCCUAAUUGCCGUCGCCCAUCGGAAGAAGAAGUGAGGAACUCUGGAAUCGCCGAUUCACCAUCGCCGUCGAAUCGUUGUUGUCUAAACUUUUGUCAAAAAAACGCAUUAAGUGACCCUCACCUCAUUGAAAGGAAUACUGAUAAGUGAUGAGUCAUAAAUGAUAAAUGGUAAUUAACUUUGGGAUUUUGGAAAUCCCGGAAAACCGAAC